rnacentral:rRNA from 1 species
UACGAAGGGGGCUAGCGUUGCUCGGAAUCACUGGGCGUAAAGCGCACGUAGGCGGAUUGCUAAGUCAGGGGUGAAAUCCUGGAGCUCAACUCCAGAACUGCCUUUGAUACUGGCGAUCUUGAGUCUGGGAGAGGUGAGUGGAACUGCGAGUGUAGAGGUGAAAUUCGUAGAUAUUCGCAAGAACACCAGUGGCGAAGGCGGCUCACUGGCCCGGUACUGACGCUGAGGUGCGAAAGCGUGGGGAGCAAACAGG